rnacentral:rRNA from 1 species
UACGGGGGGGGCAAGCGUUGUUCGGAAUUGCUGGGCGUAAAGGGCUCGUAGGCGGCCAACUAAGUCGGACGUGAAAUCCCUCGGCUUAACCGGGGAACUGCGUCCGAUACUGGAUGGCUUGAGUGUGGGAGAGGGAUGCGGAAUUCCAGGUGUAGCGGUGAAAUGCGUAGAUAUCUGGAGGAACACCGGUGGCGAAGGCGGCAUCCUGGACCACGACUGACGCUGAGGAGCGAAAGCCAGGGGAGCAAACGGG